rnacentral:lncRNA from 1 species
UCCUCCCAGAAUCCCAGGCUGGAUGCUCCUGGUUCUGACUCUCAGAGGCCACAGGUAGAUGGAGUCUCAUUCCCAGUACGCGCUGUCGGUCUCCACUGGGGGUCGGACCUUAACGAUUGGGCCUCAAAGGCCAGAAACCAGGCGAGGCGAGGCGAGGCGCACAGGAACCGGGAAGAUUUGCACACCCCACCCCCUCCCCCCCAGAAAGGAGCCACCGAGGAGCUCCCUUCCCCGAUCUCCUUUGCACGGAGACAGCGCUCUCUCUCUCUCACUCGGUGGAGACACCACUUGGACGGACCACCCAGCUGUUGAUUCCCGAGGCCUGGUUUGCUCUUCUUAACUCCUUGACUGGACCCCUCAGACCUUAAAUGCUUACCCCCUAUGCUUUCUGCACUGGAGUUCGAACUCCCUAGGAGUUGUACGUUGGGGGGGCCGGGGUGGGGUUUGUUUUUCUUGUUUUGUUUGUUUUGUUUUUUGUUUUGUUCGCUAACUGGUGCAUAUUCAGGUUACCACCUUUUGACGUGUGGAUCUUUCUCCAAACCACCGUGGGAAGUGUCCGCCAGGCUCCCUUUUCUAAGAGUUUCUGAGGGGACAGCUCCCAUUUUCUUUGUCUGGUUUUAAGGGAGCUGUCUAUUUCCUAUACUUCAAGAAGAAUCAAAAUGUUCCUGAAUUUUAAAUACCUCAUGCAAAAAAAAAAUUAUCUCCUGAAAUAAUGGAAGAAGAAAAAAAAAAAGACUUUGAGAAUCGUAAUGUUGAAGUUAGCAAUGCUAAAACGUUUCCGUCUUAAAAAAAAAUUUCUUGUACUUAGCGAUUUUGCCCCUCAGGCGGUCCGUUCUGUCCAGAACUGUGUAUGCCCUUCGUCGUGGCCGGAAAGAAACCAGAUGCAUGACCUCCGACGUAUCUCAAGGUCAAGGCAGCUUUACCUCCAGAUGUAGGGCGACAUUUUUCUUUCGCAGCAGAACUCCAUUUAGGUGAAAGAUGAAUUCGGAUAUUUAUUUCUUUUUUUUUUUUUCCCUGGGAAACAAGAGGUAAUGUUACAAUGUAAACAGCUGAGGGAGAACCCAACUGGGGCAUCCACGGAGCCAGCAAGGCGGCCAGGGCCGCCCGUACCUCUUCGACCCUCUGCAGCCUCUGGACAGUCAGGAGGAGUCGACGCAGUUGAGAGGGAAGACGGCGGUGAGAUCCACGGUACCGAGGCUGUCAUUAGUUUUUCUCUGAAGUGCCUGAAGGUAGGAAUGGGCCGUUGACGGGGACCAUUCGGAUGCCCCCCACCCCGACGGCCACGCCAGGCAAAGAGCCAGCAGCCCUUGCACUCCGCGCUGGCCGAGAAAGCCUUCCACGAGGAGCGGUCAGACUGCAAAAUCCAAUGUGCUUCCUUCCCCGCCACGGUCCUCUCUCCGAGCCGAUGGUCCCCAUCCCUGAACCCCUAGCCCUCAACCCCACCACAGAAUCUAAGAUCUUUCAUCUGGCUGCGCCAGGGGCAGGGGAUCCUAAGCAAAUGCCUUCCGUGGACAUCAGGCCCCAUGGCCUAAAGGGCUCCCAGGGCAAACUUCUCCCGCAAAACCUGAAGGUGGGGGAAUGGCGGCUACACAUUCCACAAAGUGCUACACUUGCACCCACAACCGGGAAGGCUAUGAAGCGAUCCUUAGAGGGUGGUGACUGCCCAUCGUCAGACGGUGUCGUGGCUUGGAAUGUUAUUAUUGCCGAGGACCUGGUUAGAGGUAUAAAGACCUUUUUUUCACUGUUACCUAAUCUUUUUUUUCUCCCCCCUCUUACAAUUUUUUUUUGGUGUGUUGUACAGCAGUAUAAUUUUUCACUUAUUUAUUCCAUCGGUAGAUAUUGUUUGUACAAUGUACAAUGGUUUUCAUUUCAGAAAAUAAAAAAAAAAGUUCUGAUCAUAAGUUUGGCGGCUUAGCCCAUUGUAAUAAGGAAUAAAAAUCAGGUGGAUAAUGAA